rnacentral:rRNA from 1 species
UACGUAGGGUGCAAGCGUUAUCCGGAUUUACUGGGCUUAAAGGGUGCGCAGGCGGAUAUGUAAGUCAGUGGUGAAAUCUCUGGGCUUAACCCGGAAAUUGCCAUUGAUACUAUAUAUCUUGAAUGCUGUGGAGGUAAGCGGAAUAUGUCAUGUAGCGGUGAAAUGCUUAGAUAUGACAUAGAACACCUAUUGCGAAGGCAGCUUACUACGCAGAUAUUGACGCUCAUGCACGAAAGCGUGGGGAUCAAACAGG